UACGUAGGGGGCUAGCGUUGUCCGGAUUUAUUGGGCGUAAAGAGCGUGUAGGCGGCCAGGUAGGUCUGCUGUGAAAACUCGAGGCUCAACCUCGAGACGUCGGCGGAAACCAUCUGGCUAGAGUCCGGAAGAGGAGAGUGGCAUUCCUGGUGUAGCGGUGAAAUGCGCAGAUAUCAGGAAGAACACCCGUGGCGAAGGCGGCUCUCUGGGACGGUACUGACGCUGAGACGCGAAAGCGUGGGGAGCGAACAGG
rnacentral:rRNA from 1 species